rnacentral:rRNA from 1 species
UAGCCAGACUCCUACGGGAGGCAGCAGUGGGGAAUAUUGCACAAUGGGGGAAACCCUGAUGCAGCAACGCCGCGUGAGUGAAGAAGUAUUUCGAUAUGUAAAGCUCUAUCAGCAGGGAAGAAGAUGACGGUACCUGAUUAAGAAGCCCCGGCUAACUACGUGCCAGCAGCCGCGGUAAUACGUAGGGGGCAAGCGUUAUCCGGAUUUACUGGGUGUAAAGGGAGCGUAGACGGCAGCGCAAGUCUGAAGUGAAAUGCCGGGGCUUAACCCCGGAACUGCUUUGGGAACUGUUUUGCUGGAGUAUGGGAGGGGUAAGCGGAAUUCCUGGUGUAGCGGUGAAAUGCGUAGAUAUCAGGAGGAACACCGGUGGCGAAGGCGGCUUACUGGACCAUAACUGACGUUGAGGCUCGAAAGCGUGGGGAGCGAACAGGAUUAGAUACCCCUGUAUA